ACCUGGUUGAUCCUGCCAGUAGUAAUAUGCUUGUCUCAAAGCUUAAGCCAUACAAAUAUAAGUUCAUGCAUUAAAACAGCCGAAACCCUGAAUGGCUCAGGAACUGGACUUAAUCCUUGGGACCAUAAUCCUCUUCAGAGGCAAUGGAUAACUCUGGCAAUUCUAGAGCUAAUACAUGUGACACAGGCCAUGAUCGGUUGGCAUGUUGUCGCCUGUGUGCUGUCAUAUGCAUGGGCACCCACGUCGACCAUUACAUAUUAGACUGAGACUACUCACUGUUGUCGUUUCCCUUCCUCAGCGGGCUGGGCAAGCGCGCAGUGUUCUGCAAUGAGACCAAAGGGCAGCAUGCUUUGCUUUGGUGACUGGAUAAUCCACUGGUUGAUCGCACUGGCUUUUACGCCUGGUGAUAGGUCUCUUGAAGGUCUUUUCUAUCAACUGUCAACAGUCAGUUAAGUGCCUACCGUAGUUACUACGGGUAAUAGAGAAUCAGGGUUCGAUUCUGGAGAUGGAGUAUGCAAAACAACUGCCACAUCCAAGGAAGGCAGCAGGCACACAAAUUACCCACUCCCGGCAUGAGGAAGUAGUGGUGAAAAAUAAUGACGUGGGACUCUGUCGAGGCCCCG